GUGGGAUUCAUGAAGAACCUCCUGAGCUCAGCUGUGUGUUCAUAAAGAGUGAUGGGUCAAUGGAGAAACGUUCUUCAUUCAGUGAGACAGACGCUCCUGCUGAUGAGAGUGAAUUUCAUGGAGAAUCUACUGAGACCAGCUGUGUGUCCAUAAAGAGUGACUGGUCAAUGAGAAAACCUCCUUCAUUCAGUGAGACUGAUGAGAG